UGCCCUUCAGAGGGGGACAACAGUUGGAAACGACUGCUAAUACCGCAUACGAUCUAAUCUCGGCAUCGAGGAAAGAUGAAAGGUGGCCUCUAUUUAUAAGCUAUCACUGAAGGAGGGGAUUGCGUCUGAUUAGCUAGUUGGAGGGGUAACGGCCCACCAAGGCGAUGAUCAGUAGCCGGUCUGAGAGGGUGAUCGGCCACAUUGGGACUGAGACACGGCCCAGACUCCUACGGGAGGCAGCAUG
rnacentral:rRNA from 1 species